rnacentral:rRNA from 1 species
UGAACGCUGGCGGUAGGCUUAACACAUGCAAGUCGUGCGAGAAAGUACCUUCGGGUGCGAGUAGAGCGGCGGACGGGUGAGUAACGCGUAGGAAUCUACCUAGUAGAAGGGGAUAGCCCGGGGAAACUCGGAUUAAUACCGUAUACCUCCUUAGGGAGAAAGAGGGCUUAGCUUUGAUGCUCUCGCUAUUAGAUGAGCCUGCGUAAGAUUAGCUUGUUGGUGAGGUAAUGGCUCACCAAGGCGACGAUCUUUAGCUGGUCUGAGAGGACGAUCAGCCACAUUGGGACUGAGACACGGCCCAGACUCCUACGGGAGGCAGCAGUGGGGAAUAUUGGACAAUGGGCGCAAGCCUGAUCCAGCCAUACCGCGUGUGUGAAGAAGGCUUUCGGGUUGUAAAGCACUUUAAGUAAGGAGAAAAAGAUUGUAGUUAAUACCUGCAAUCCGUGAUGUUACUUACAGAAUAAGGACCGGCUAAUUCCGUGCCAGCAGCCGCGGUAAUACGGAAGGUCCAAGCGUUAAUCGGAAUUACUGGGCGUAAAGCGCGCGUAGGUGGUUUUUUAAGUUGGAUGUGAAAGCCCUGGGCUCAACCUAGGAACUGCAUCCAAAACUAGAUGACUAGAGUACGAAAGAGGGAAGUAGAAUUCACAGUGUAGCGGUGGAAUGCGUAGAUAUUGUGAAGAAUACCAAUGGCGAAGGCAGCUUCCUGGUUCUGUACUGACACUGAGGUGCGAAAGCGUGGGUAGCGAACAGGAUUAGAUACCCUGGUAGUCCACGCCGUAAACGAUGACAACUAGCUGUUGGGAGACAAGAUCUCUCAGUGGCGCAGCU